CCUUGCUAGGUUCCCUACCAUAUUGCCCUGAUCUACGCCUGAUUUCAAAAGUUAAGGAGAGUCAGGACUGGUUAGUACUUUGAUGGGAGAUUUCCAGUGUAUGCAAGGGAUGCAGGAA
rnacentral:rRNA from 1 species